GACGAACGCUGGCGGCGUGCCUAAUACAUGCAAGUUGAGCGCUGAAGGUUGGUACUUGUACCAACUGGAUGAGCAGCGAACGGGUGAGUAACGCGUGGGGAAUCUGCCUUUGAGCGGGGGACAACAUUUGGAAACGAAUGCUAAUACCGCAUAAAAACUUUAAACACAAGUUUUAAGUUUGAAAGAUGCAAUUGCAUCACUCAAAGAUGAUCCCGCGUUGUAUUAGCUAGUUGGUGAGGUAAAGGCUCACCAAGGCGAUGAUACAUAGCCGACCUGAGAGGGUGAUCGGCCACAUUGGGACUGAGACACGGCCCAAACUCCUACGGGAGGCAGCAGUAGGGAAUCUUCGGCAAUGGACGAAAGUCUGACCGAGCAACGCCGCGUGAGUGAAGAAGGUUUUCGGAUCGUAAAACUCUGUUGGUAGAGAAGAACGUUGGUGGGAGUGGAAAGCUCAUCAAGUGACGGUAACUACCCAGAAAGGGACGGCUAACUACGU
rnacentral:rRNA from 1 species